AUGGGGGGACCAUCCUCCAAGGCUAAAUACUCGUAGUCGACCGAUAGUGAACAAGUACCGUGAGGGAAAGGUGAAAAGAACCCCGGGAGGGGAGUGAAAUAGAUCCUGAAACCGUAUGCAUACAAAAAGUCGGAGCCCGCAAGGGUGACGGCGUACCUUUUGUAUAAUGGGUCAGCGACUUACAUUCAGUGGCGAGCUUAACCGCAUAGGGAAGGCGUAGGGAAACCGAGUCCGAACAGGGCGUUCAGUCGCUGGGUGUAGACCCGAAACCGGAUGAUCUAUCCAUGGCCAGGAUGAAGGCUGGGUAACACCAGCUGGAGGUCCGAACCGACUAGUGUUGCAAAACUAGCGGAUGAGCUGUGGAUAGGGGUGAAAGGCUAAACAAAUCCGGAAAUAGCUGGUUCUCCUCGAAAACUAUUUAGGUAGUGCCUCGUGUAUCACCUUCGGGGGUAGAGCACUGUUUUGGCUAGGGGGUCAUGGCGACUUACCAAACCAAGGCAAACUCCGAAUACCGAAGAGUGUCAGCACGGGAGACAGAGCACCGGGUGCUAACGUCCGGACUCAAGAGGGAAACAACCCAGACCGCCAGCUAAGGUCCCCAAAUAUGGCUAAGUGGGAAACGAAGUGGGAAGGCAUUGACAGUCAGGAAGUUGGCUUAGAAGCAGCCAUCCUUUAAAGAAAGCGUAAUAGCUCACUGAUCGAGUCGUCCUGCGCGGAAGAUGUAACGGGGCUAAGCCAUAUACCGAAGCUGCGGAUGUGACCUUUGGUCACGUGGUAGAGGAGCGUUCCGUAAGCCUGUGAAGGUGUCCUGGAAGGGGUGCUGGAGGUAUCGGAAGUGCGAAUGCUGACAUGAGUAGCGUUAAAGGGGGUGAAAAGCCCCCUCGCCGUAAGCGCAAGGUUUCCUACGCAACGUUCAUCGGCGUAGGGUGAGUCGGCCCCUAAGGCGAGGCAGAAAUGCGUAGCUGAUGGGAAACAGGUUAAUAUUCCUGUACCACUGUCGAGUGCGAUGUGGGGACGGAGAAAGUUAGGUCAGCCGGGUGUUGGAUGUCCCGGUUCAAGCAUGUAGGCGUGCCCCUUAGGCAAAUCCGGGGGGCUGAGCUGAGGUGUGACGACGAGGCGGCUUGCCGCUGAAGUGAUUGAUACUCUGCUUCCAAGAAAAGCCACUAAGCUUCAGCUCGACAGGACCGUACCGCAAACCGACACUGGUGCGCGAGAUGAGUAUUCUCAGGCGCUUGAGAGAACUCGGGAGAAGGAACUCGGCAAAUUAGUACCGUAACUUCGGGAUAAGGUACGCCCCUGGUAUGUGGAGACCCUCGCGGUCGAAGCAGAAGGGGGCCGCAGUGAAAAGGUGGCUGCGACUGUUUAUUAAAAACACAGCACUCUGCAAACACGAAAGUGGACGUAUAGGGUGUGACGCCUGCCCGGUGCCGGAAGGUUAAGUG
rnacentral:rRNA from 1 species